UACGAAGGGGGCUAGCGUUGCUCGGAAUCACUGGGCGUAAAGCGCACGUAGGCGGAUCUUUAAGUCAGGGGUGAAAUCCUGGAGCUCAACUCCAGAACUGCCUUUGAUACUGGGGAUCUCGAGUCCGGGAGAGGUGAGUGGAACUGCGAGUGUAGAGGUGAAAUUCGUAGAUAUUCGCAAGAACACCAGUGGCGAAGGCGGCUCACUGGCCCGGUACUGACGCUGAGGUGCGAAAAGCGUGGGGAGCAA
rnacentral:rRNA from 1 species